CUCGCAACUUGAGAGUAAAUCUACAGCAGGAAGGACGUCAAGAUUUCUCAUCAAUUCAAGUGUUAGAUCAUAUAGGUUUUCUAAUGCCUAAGAUUGAUGCGGCAUGAUGGUUGAUCCUGUACUAUACUCAGAGCUGGCUGGGGAAUCGUGGAGAUCAGGUUGCCUAUGGAAGAUCGGUGACUAGUCAGACGCUCUGAACCAUAAGAUAUUUUCCAGGAUAUGCAACAACAGGAGGGGUUUGUGCAGAGUUGUUUACCAUCAAUCUCCUUCAGAGUGCCGGUUUGAUUCUGUUC